rnacentral:rRNA from 1 species
AGGAUUAACGCUGGCGGCGUGCCUAACACAUGCAAGUCGAACGAGGUAGCAAUACCUAGUGGCAGACGGGUGAGUAACGCGUGGUCAACCUACCGUUGAGUGGGGGAUAACUAGCCGAAAGGUUAGCUAAUACCGCAUACGAGUCUCGGGGGCAUCCCUGGGCCUUAAAAGGAGCAAUCCGCUCGAUGACGGGACCGCGUCCCAUUAGCUAGAUGGUGGGGUAAUGGCCUACCAUGGCUCCGAUGGGUAGCUGGUUUGAGAGAGCGACCAGCCACACUGGGACUGAGAAACGGCCCAGACUCCUACGGGAGGCAGCAGUGAGGAAUUUUCCGCAAUGGGCGAAAGCCUGACGGAGCGACGCCGCGUGUGGGAAGAAGGCCUUCGGGUCGUAAACCACUGUCGAAGGGGACGAAAAGCUCAGGGUUAACACCUCUGGGUCUUGACCUAACCCACAGAAAAGCACCGGCUAACUCUGCGCCAGCAGCCGCGGUAA